rnacentral:snRNA from 1 species
GCGCCCGCCUCCACAGCACAUACACUAAAAUUGGAAUAAUACAGAGAAGAUUAGUGUGGCCCUAUGCAAGGGUGACAUGCAAAUUUGUGAAGCGCUCCAUAUUAAA